rnacentral:piRNA from 1 species
UUCACCCUGCCUUUGCCCCCUUCCCCA